rnacentral:misc_RNA from 1 species
GCUCUGACAGACAUGUUUGCUGACAGUGUGGUGCCAGUACUGCUUCAAUCUGCAGUGUUAGUUAGAGAGAAUAAGACUAGCAGAGCUGAAGAAAUAUUGGGGCAGUUUGCUGAAAAGUUCCCUGAGAAAUCCAAGAUUGUUUUUCUUGCAAGGGCACAAAUUGCUGCUGCUGCUGGCCAUCCUCAAAUUGCAGCCGACUCACUGGCUAAGAUACCUGAUAUUCAGCACAAGCCUGCCACUGUUGCCACCAUUGUGGCUCUUAAAGAGCGGGCUGGAGAUAUUGAUGGUGCAUCUGCCAUCCUUGACUCUGCAAUCAAUGGUGGUCAAAUGCUAUGACUGAGNACUGGAUGUUAUAAUGCAAGAAGCUGCUUCGUUCAAGAUCAGGCAUGGGCGGGAGGAAGA